rnacentral:rRNA from 1 species
UACGGGGGGAGCAAGCGUUGUUCGGAUUUACUGGGCGUAAAGGGCGCGUAGGCGGCCACCGCAAGUCGACUGUGAAAUCUCCGGGCUUAACCCGGAAAGGUCAGCCGAUACUGCGGGGCUAGAGUGCAGAAGGGGCAACUGGAAUUCUCGGUGUAGCGGUGAAAUGCGUAGAUAUCGAGAGGAACACCUGCGGCGAAGGCGGGUUGCUGGGCUGACACUGACGCUGAGGAGCGAAAGCGUGGGGAGCAAACAGG